rnacentral:tRNA from 1 species
GGCUCAGCACCCCGCCAAACUGCAAAUUUGGAGCAGAAUUUUAUUUUCACUGAGCCU